AUACGUAGGUGGCAAGCGUUGUCCGGAAUUAUUGGGCGUAAAGCGCAUGUAGGCGGUAAUUUAAGUCUGUCGUGAAACUGCGGGGCUCAGCCCCGUAUGGCGAUGGAAACUGGGUUACUUGAGUGCAGGAGAGGAAAGGGGAACUCCCAGUGUAGCGGUGAAAUGCGUAGAUAUUGGGAAGAAUACCGGUGGCGAAGACGCCUUUCUGGACUGUGUCUGACGCUGAGAUGCGAAAGCCAGGGUAGCGAACGGGAUUAGAUACCCCGGUAGUCCUGGCCGUAAACGAUGGGUACUAGGUGUGGGAGGUAUUGACCCCUUCCGUGCCGGAGUUAACGCAAUAAGUACCCCGCCUGGGGAGUACGGCCGCAAGGCUUAAACUCAAAGGAAUUGACGGGG
rnacentral:rRNA from 1 species